UAAAAUGGUGCAUGUAGUUGAAGAAGAAUUUAAUAUAUUUGUCCAGACAGUGCUUUUGCCUUGUUUGUCAGUGACAAUGUAAUUAGACAUAGGAAACCCAGUCAUUGAGACAAAGAAUGUGCUGUUCAUUCUCAGAAUCACCGUUGUUCUAAUUGGCUUAAGCUUUUUUUUAUUUAAAUUGCCUCUGGCAUCUUAGCUUUUGUUCUCUCCCUAAGUAGCGGGAUUCAAGAAAAUGGCUUGAGUGUUAUACUUGGGUGGUAGUAUUGAUUUUGGACAUAAUUAAUCCACCAUUCUUAGUAAAUCAGAGUGCAGUAUCAAAUCAACAAUCAGUUUAUUGCUAAAUGAGAGAAUAAAAGUUUCUUAUUUUGUGAGUGCUGUUAGGUUCACUACGGAAUACUGCUUGAGAGAGAGAGAGAGAGAG
rnacentral:misc_RNA from 1 species